CUCUUCCCUCAGCUUCCCUCACCUGAGAGCUCACCUGCUCACAUCACUCCAGCAGUUGCCGUCUCCUCAUUGCGUCAGGUGCCUUUGAGCCAGCGUGUGCAGGAGGUGAUCUGCUGGCUGCAGCAGGCCGCCCAGGAUCUGUCAGAAUCCUGGACGGCUGUUGUGGGAUCAAGUUAUGCAGACAAGCAUCAGGUAGAGAGGAUAGAGAGAACUCAACACGGACUUUUGGUCACGUCUGAGUGAAAUAAAAAGAUAUCUUUUUUGGAUUUCUUUCUUUAGGUGUUUCAGAUGUUUGCUAACUCUGCUGAGCAGAGAAGAACCGUGAUGAGUCUUCUUGCCGCAACAAAACGCAAUGCUGAGCUGAGACAGGAGCAGCUGGCGCUGAAGACGGCGUGGGAUCAUCUCGAGGAAGAGGUGACAGAAUUCAAGACUUCUUCACUGUCCCAAAUUUUUGGUUGCUAACUUGUGAUACUUUUUAGUUGGGGAAGUACAAAGCAGAUCUGGACCAGAGUCUUCCUCAUCCUCUGGACUCAGUUGUUGUGUGGCUACAGCGAGGAGAGGCGGAGCUACAGAAAGAUGGAGACGCAUCAACAAACCACGCCGAGGCUGCCAGGGAAGCAAGAGUCCGACAAGACAAACUGAAGACUUUGCUUGAGGAAAUGAGUCACUACAACAACAUUUUGGAAUCCUUCAAAAACACAGACACUUCAGGGAAUGCAGUUGUCCCUCCUGAGAAGCUUGAUGAGCUAAGAAAUCGAUUAACCAACAUCAGAGUCACUGGUAAAUAUGACGGAAUCAAGCUGGAAUUCUGGGAAUCCCUUCACACCGUCCUGGACCUCCUGAAUCACAUUGGUGCUAAAGUUCAGGUCUGGAAAGGUCCAUAUGGGUCUGAGGAUCGGGUUCAUGCUCUGUUGCUGGACUGGCAUGUGAGUUGUUUUUUUUUUUUUUGUUUUUUUUUUUUAGGAAACGAUAAGUAAACAGUUCACCAGCUCCCAAACUGAUUUUUCUGUUUGUGUAGGAAACAGUCGAGCGACGAGGUCUCCACUUGAUUCUGAUGGAUGCUCUUCAGACUCUGAAGGAGAAGGCGAACGCUUUCAGCGGAAAACCUUCUCUAGGUUUAUGUCACAUAUCAUGGACCAAACACGAUUUUUGGGUCCAUUUGAAACUUUU
rnacentral:lncRNA from 1 species